AAAGCACUGACUGCUCUUCUGGAGGACCCAGGUGAUUCUAGACUGUAUCGAGUAGACAGCCACAAACCAACGGCUACAGACAACAAAGCAGGUAGACUUCCCCAACUGAGAGCCCUCAUUUUUACAGGCUUGACCCCACGGUCAAUGCUUG